CCUACGGGGGGCUGCAGUGGGGAAUAUUGCACAAUGGGGGAAACCCUGAUGCAGCGACGCCGCGUGAGUGAAGAAGUAUUUCGGUAUGUAAAGCUCUAUCAGCAGGAACGAGACAAGACGGUACCUGACUAAGAAGCCCCGGCUAACUACGUGCCAGCAGCCGCGGUAAUACGUAGGGGGCGAGCGUUAUCCGGAUUUACUGGGUGUAAAGGGAGCGUAGACGGCGGUGCAAGCCAGAUGUGAAAGCCCGGGGCUCAACCCCGGGACUGCAUUUGGAACUGGGCUGCUAGAGUGUCGGAGAGGCAGGCGGAAUUCCUAGUGUAGCGGUGAAAUGCGUAGAUAUUAGGAGGAACACCAGUGGCGAAGGCGGCCUGCUGGACGAUGACUGACGUUGAGGCUCGAAAGCGUGGGGAGCAAACAGGAUUAGAUACCCUAGUAGUC
rnacentral:rRNA from 1 species